rnacentral:rRNA from 1 species
GACAGAGGUGCCAAGCGUUAGGCGGAAUCACUGGGCUUAAAGCGUGUGUAGGCGGACUUGCAAGUGCUUUGUGAAAUCCCAACGGCUCACCCGUGGAAUAGCUUGGCAUACUGCGAGUCUUGAGCCAUCUAGGGGCAACUGGAACAAAUGGUGGAGCGGUGAAAUGCGUAGAUAUCAUUGGAACGCCAAUGGUGAAAACAGGUUGCUGGGGAUGUGCUGACGGCUGAUGCGCGAAAGCCAGGGAGCGAACGGG